AAAGAAAGGGGGAGGCAUGCCUAACACAUGCAAGUCGAACGAGACCUUCGGGUCUAGUGGCGCACGGGUGCGUAACGCGUGGGAACCUGCCCUUAGGUUCGGAAUAACUCCCCGAAAGGGGUGCUAAUACCGGAUAAUGUCUUCGGACCAAAGAUUUAUCGCCUUUGGAUGGGCCCGCGUUGGAUUAGCUAGUUGGUAGGGUAAAAGCCUACCAAGGCGACGAUCCAUAGCUGGUCUGAGAGGAUGAUCAGCCACACUGGGACUGAGACACGGCCCAGACUCCUACGGGAGGCAGCAGUGGGGAAUAUUGGACAAUGGGCGAAAGCCUGAUCCAGCAAUGCCGCGUGAGUGAUGAAGGCCUUAGGGUUGUAAAGCUCUUUUACCCGGGAUGAUAAUGACAGUACCGGGAGAAUAAGCGCCGGCUAACUCCGUG
rnacentral:rRNA from 1 species